GUGAAUUUUAAUAGUGUACCGUAGACAGUAGGAGUCGAUUCGACUUAAUUUCCUACCUAGGUGUUAAUAUACGAAGCGGAAUCUUUUUUCUGUGACUAUAUGCCUCCAUGUCUACAAGUUGGGCAUGGAGGUUUUUAGUGCACUUU
rnacentral:sRNA from 2 species